rnacentral:rRNA from 1 species
AGUGAACGCUGGCGGUAGGCCUAACACAUGCCAGUCGAACGGCAGCACAGUAAGAGCUUGCUCUUACGGGUGGCGAGUGGCGGACGGGUGAGGAAUACAUCGGAAUCUACUUUUUCGUGGGGGAUAACGUAGGGAAACUUACGCUAAUACCGCAUACGACCUACGGGUGAAAGCAGGGGAUCUUCGGACCUUGCGCGAUUGAAUGAGCCGAUGUCGGAUUAGCUAGUUGGCGGGGUAAAGGCCCACCAAGGCGACGAUCCGUAGCUGGUCUGAGAGGAUGAUCAGCCACACUGGAACUGAGACACGGUCCAGACUCCUACGGGAGGCAGCAGUAGGGAAUAUUGGACAAUGGGCGCAAGCCUGAUCCAGCCAUACCGCGUGGGUGAAGAAGGCCUUCGGGUUGUAAAGCCCUUUUGUUGGGAAAGAAAAGCAGCAGGUUAAUACCCCGCUGUUCUGACGGUACCCAAAGAAUAAGCACCGGCUAACUUCGUG